UGGGGAAUAUUGCGCAAUGGUCGAAAGACUGACGCAGCGACGCCGCGUGUGGGAGGAAGCCCUUCGGGGUGUAAACCACUGUCGGGGGGGACGAAUCCCGGACGGGCAAAUAGCCCGAACGGUUGACGGUACCCCCAAAGGAAGCACCGGCUAACCCUGUGCCAGCAGCCGCGGUAAUACAGGGGGUGCAAGCGUUGUUCGGAAUUACUGGGCGUAAAGCGCGGGCAGGUGGCCUUUUAAGUCCUUUGUGAAAUCCCGGAGCUCAACUCCGGAUGUGCAUAGGAUACUGGAGGGCUUGAGACUGGUAGAGGCGAGCGGAAUUCCUGGUGUAGCGGUGGAAUGCGUAGAUAUCAGGAAGAACACCGGUGGCGAAGGCGGCUCGCUGGGCCAGAUCUGACACUCAGCCGCGAAAGCGUGGGGAGCAAACAG
rnacentral:rRNA from 1 species